GAACGCUGGCGGCGUGCUUAACACAUGCAAGUCGAACGGAAAGGCCCUGCUUUUGUGGGGUGCUCGAGUGGCGAACGGGUGAGUAACACGUGAGUAACCUGCCCUUGACUUUGGGAUAACUUCAGGAAACUGGGGCUAAUACCGGAUAGGAGCUCCUGCUGCAUGGUGGGGGUUGGAAAGUUUCGGCGGUUGGGGAUGGACUCGCGGCUUAUCAGCUUGUUGGUGGGGUAGUGGCUUACCAAGGCUUUGACGGGUAGCCGGCCUGAGAGGGUGACCGGCCACAUUGGGACUGAGAUACGGCCCAGACUCCUACGGGAGGCAGCAGUGGGGAAUAUUGCACAAUGGGCGGAAGCCUGAUGCAGCAACGCCGCGUGCGGGAUGACGGCCUUCGGGUUGUAAACCGCUUUCGCCUGUGACGAAGCGUGAGUGACGGUAAUGGGUAAAGAAGCACCGGCUAACUACGUGCCAGCAGCCGCGGUGAUACGUAGGGUGCGAGCGUUGUCCGGAUUUAUUGGGCGUAAAGGGCUCGUAGGUGGUUGAUCGCGUCGGAAGUGUAAUCUUGGGGCUUAACCCUGAGCGUGCUUUCGAUACGGGUUGACUUGAGGAAGGUAGGGGAGAAUGGAAUUCCUGGUGGAGCGGUGGAAUGCGCAGAUAUCAGGAGGAACACCAGUGGCGAAGGCGGUUCUCUGGGCCUUUCCUGACGCUGAGGAGCGAAAGCGUGGGGAGCGAACAGGCUUAGAUACCCUGGUAGUCCACGCUGUAAACGGUGGGUACUAGGUGUGGGGUCCAUUCCACGGGUUCCGUGCCGUAGCUAACGCUUUAAGUACCCCGCCUGGGGAGUACGGCCGCAAGGCUAAAACUCAAAGGAAUUGACGGGGCCCCGCACAAGCGGCGGAGCAUGCGGAUUAAUUCGAUGCAACGCGUAGAACCUUACCUGGGUUUGACAUGGAUCGGGAGUGCUCAGAGAUGGGUGUGCCUCUUUUGGGGUCGGUUCACAGGUGGUGCAUGGCUGUCGUCAGCUCGUGUCGUGAGAUGUUGGGUUAAGUCCCGCAACGAGCGCAACCCUUGUUCACUGUUGCCAGCACGUUAUGGUGGGGACUCAGUGGAGACCGCCGGGGUCAACUCGGAGGAAGGUGGGGAUGACGUCAAGUCAUCAUGCCCCUUAUGUCCAGGGCUUCACGCAUGCUACAAUGGCUGGUACAGAGAGUGGCGAGCCUGUGAGGGUGAGCGAAUCUCGGAAAGCCGGUCUCAGUUCGGAUUGGGGUCUGCAACUCGACCUCAUGAAGUCGGAGUCGCUAGUAAUCGCAGAUCAGCAACGCUGCGGUGAAUACGUUCCCGGGGCUUGUACACACCGCCCGUCAAGUCAUGAAAGUUGGUAACACCCGAAGCCGGUGGCCUAACCAUUGUGGGGGAGCCGUCGAAGGUGGGACUGGUGAUU
rnacentral:rRNA from 1 species